rnacentral:lncRNA from 1 species
GUUUGGAUUUGAUAUCCUGCUUUAUCACUACCCUAAGGAGUCUCAAAGCGGCUAACAUUCUCCUUUCCCUUCCUCCCCCACAACAAACACUCUGUGAGGUGAGUGAGGCUGAGAGACUUCAGAGAAGUGUGACUAGCCCAAGGUCACCCAGCAGCUGCAUGUGGAGGAGUAGGGAAUCGAACCCGGUUCACCAGAUUAUGAGACUACCGCUCUUAACCACUACACCACACUGGCUCUCAGAGAAGAGAACUUCCAGACUAUUUAGCUACAUGGUGCUUCCAGGUGGGUAUUUACGGAGGGAUUAAUCCAGAUUCUCUCUUUUUGGGGAAUAUCCAGUACGUUAAAAAAAAACCUGUCUCCAGCAAAACCCACCCUUUUUUAAAGUUUUAAACUCCCAUAAGGAAGCACCCACAGAUGCGAUGAAUUAAUAGUGCCCAAAAAGUUUCCAGUUUUGGAAAAUACUCCUGUUUUGUACUAGGUUUGUAGUUUACACUGAAGCUUGCCAGCCAACUCAGGCUUAUUUGGGAUUCUGAAUAUUUUAGUACUUUGGGAACGAGAUGCAUUGUGAAAAUAAAAAUGUACUAAUUUAUGCUAUACACAUGUAAACACACACACACACAAUGUGUGUCCUUCUGAGUUGCAGGGAAAUGAGGUUAAUAUCUGAACAUUUCUCUAGUUGCAGAUUCCCACCCCACCCCCGGAUCCUUUGAAAGUGCCCCAUCUGUACUAUGUUAGGUCCCUAAACUUGUUUUGAUCCCAGCUUUCUUGUGUAUCACAGAGCAUGUCGAUGAAGGGAUGAUUUGGUGCUCGCUACCGGGUUACUAUGGCAACCUUUGCCAAGCAGGUGCCCUCUAAUUUUGUUGGAUGGGGCUGGUGGGAGUUAUAGGCCAUAAUGUCUAGCAGGUGAUGACUGUGCUAUGGUAAGUAGAAACAGUGGAGUCUUGUCCAUUAGGAUGAAUGGGGCCCUCAGACAGCCGCAGUCUUCCCUUGUUACUUACAACCAGUCCAAGGGGUAGCACUGGCUGUCACCUUCUCCUUGGACUCAGUUUUGCCCUUGUAGAACUCAAGAGAUAAUCUAGAAUUAACCAAUUCUACUGGCCAUUGGCUAUGGCGCCACCUACUGCCCAGCUCCCUGCCUUCCGCCCUACCAGCCCCAAUGGGCACCACCAACCAUUGCCUAGGAAGCAGGUCUCCCUACAUCCCAGAGAAUCAGGAGGGGGGAGCAAACAUGCAUGAAUGGUUGCAGCGCAGAAUCAGGAACUGGUGAAUAUUCCAGAUGAAUAAACCCAGGGGUGUGUGAGCAGCCAUAAUUUUGUGUAUGUAGCAUUGUUUACACACACAUACACACACACACACACACACACACACACACACACACACACACUUUCUGCUGCACCUACUUUCUCCCAAGGAAUAAAGGCCCAUUCCAUUUGUAGCCAGGAGGCUAACUCUUGAGCGAUUCCACCACCACCUCCCCAUCAAAGCUCCCAUCUUUUUCAGUGCAUGAAAUAUUAGAACAGCUGCUGCCAAUUCCACCUCUGAAAAGCAAGAACAUGGUGGGUUGUUUUUUUUUCUCCUCUCCUCUUUCUCUCUCUCUCAUUGCCAGUGAUGAUUUAAUCCUCUUUGAACUCUUAAACUCCUAAAUAUCAGAUGGUUGCUCUGUGGGGUAAGAGGCUGCGUGUUUAUUAUUGUCUGUUCUUUACAGGCGCUUCUGAAAGGUGAGCCAGAAGUUGGGAAGUGUAUCCCGGGGAGCCGCCGAAGAAUCGGGGAAUGCAAAGCAGACAGCGACUCUGGCCCUCCGACAACGGGAGGGCAAUAAAGCACGAGCCGUAUCAGGUGUUAAAAUGGCAACAAUGCCCAAAACAUCCUGGGAAAAUGCUCCAUUGCAGGGGGGCGGGGGAGAGAGAAAGGGGG